UCAUUUUUCACACUAGCAACCACACUAUUCUUGCAUCAUUCACUUGCAUGCACAACACAAUAAAUAUAAAUAUUAACCAUUUUAUUUUCCAAUGAACCACUAAGGGUGGGUUCAGCCUUUCAUAUUAACAUAUAUACAACAAGCCUCCUAAAAAAAUGUACAAGCGUAUAUAAUGCAAACAAGUUGAUAUAUCCAGCUGGUUCACCUUUCACUGCAGAAUCUCAACUGCAGCUAAAGUUUCCUUCAUUUUCUUGAAAGUCUUUUUCAAAAAAUAGGCAACAUUUACACUCUACUGCCUAGGACGAAAUGUAUACCUGUCAGGGACCUAGUCAGAGUACAUAGGACUGAGUACGUGCGAGGGAGAAAGGGUGUGAAUGAUGGACGUUUCCUGAAUGCGUGUCUUUUAGAUGUUAAAGAAAACAAAGAGAGAUCGAGUGACUGGAAAGGGAGAGAUGAGUCAGCGAUGCGAGAUUGGGGGAAAGAGCAAUUAAGGAGGUGAAAUUGGAUGUUUAUACUUGUGGGAAGGAGGUAUUGUGUUGUUUGGUUGUUUUUUGUUUUUUUUUCUUUAAAGUGAGAAGUCACUGCCGAGACAGUGUACUUUAGGAAGGAGAAGGGAUACGGAGAUUGGUGUGGACGCAUCAUUCGCAGUAGCGAGCCAUUGCUAAGACAGUGAGCUUUAAUAGUGUGUAGUAGAGACAGUGGAUUUUUGUGACUGUGUUAGAAGAACAUUACAGUCUGUUUUAAUAGUGUGUAAGGAGUGCAGUGCACUUCGUCAAUGUGUUAGUAGAAAAGAAGAGCCAUUGUGUUAGCGACUGUGUGUUUUGAUUAGUAAACACAGACUCAUACAUCAGGCAAAUCAUUGUUUUAUUGGAGAGAAAGAACGCGCAAUUGUCUGACCCCGCUGGUGUGUUCGGAAGAGUGUGAACGAGACACUAUACGAGGUACGUGUCGCGACAAUACCAUGACAAGCUUUGAAAGGGUCGUCAACCGAUCAAAUAAAUAAUUCAAUUCAAUACUUAUUUUCCUUUCCUCAUAAGCAAGAUAUCAAUAUUCGGCUUGUACUCCGUGCUUACAUGUAAGGUCUAUGUGUGCAUUCCACCCAAGUUUUGAGUGCGACGUGUAUGUAAGCUAGUGUUCACUGUAGUAUUAUUACUUUAUUUUCCAGUUGCUAUGUAUACUUUGUUUCUUACACUCUGAAUCUGGAAAAUGUUAAGUCAUGUCCUAACCCUGACAGUAUGUUCAGUUGGAAACUGUUUCACUUCAACUUUCUAAAAGCCAACACCAAGUACUCCGCUUUCAAAGACAUUUUAUUGCUCGUUUUAUUGCCUGUGAACUCCGCUUUACCUCGGGGCCAGGGUAGCAAUUAGGGAAAACUGACCGCUUGUGUAAGUCAGCAACGUGUACUCCUACCUUUCCUUUCACGGGCAACAAUACCAUCGGCCAGUGCCCUACUUCCCACGCUGAGACACGGCGAGUGAUGAGACAGGGUGGCGGCUGCGUCUUCCUAGAAAGAGGCGGCCUUAGCAGCAGUACGCGGUGCCCUGCUGUUUGGUCCUACGCGAGGGCCGAGAGCCGUAAGUGUAGGCUGCACACCGUACCACAAGAAUCUCCUAUCGCGGGCCUCCAUUACUAGUUAGCAGGCUAGUUAGCAGUCGUCACCCUGCAUCGUUCACCAAAGAGGUUCAUAGUUUGACAUUGAUUAUGAUUACUCUCCAGGAGGAGAGUGGGCCGAUCCUGGAGGUACUGCAAUACCAGGCCGACCCGUGACAGAGGUGGAGCAAGCCCCUAACACUCCGUCAUGUUUCAAAAAUCAGUUUAAUAUCGAAGUCCCCCAAUGGAGGACGUAUCAGAUAUUAAGCUGAUAAGAACAGAUACUACACUUUGAUCUUAGCCAAAAGGCCGAGAAGCGAUAACCAGAAUGUGCCAGACAUUCAUGACAGUAUCGUCUGGCUUUCCGUCACAUUCGGGUUUGGCAAACUAGCAUGCCAUUUAAGCAGCUUUCAAUGUAGAAAGUCGCCAUGCUUUUAAGAAAUUGCAUGAAAUUCUGACUGCAAAUACUAUCUUCAAAGAUUUACCGUAUUUCUGCAGCUACGUUGUCACUAUGAAAUAGCGGAGCAACGUUCAGGGGUUAAAACUGCAGCUGUCUUCUCCGAGCGACACAAGGGAAACAACACGAGUGAGUGAGUCCCUCGCUAGCUUUGCAA
rnacentral:lncRNA from 1 species